rnacentral:rRNA from 1 species
UACGUAGGUGGCAAGCGUUAUCCGGAUUUAUUGGGCGUAAAGGGAACGCAGGCGGUCUUUUAAGUCUGAUGUGAAAGCCUUCGGCUUAACCGGAGUAGUGCACUGGAAACUGGGAGACUUGAGUGCAGAAGAGGAGAGUGGAACUCCAUGUGUAGCGGUGAAAUGCGUAGAUAUAUGGAAGAACACCAGUGGCGAAAGCGGCUCUCUGGUCUGUAAUUGACGCUGAGGUUCGAAAGCGUGGGUAGCAAACAGG